AUGCAACGUAAGGAAGAUUACGUAGGUAUCGUCCUUCAAACUAUUCCCUUGAACAUCCAGUUCAGACGUACGUUAGUGGGUGAGAGAUGGACAGCCUGGAUGCACUUGGUUUGGAGAUUGAUUGAAGUUCGACUCUCCGACAUGCCGGACUCAACACAAUGGAAGUUAACUAAAAAUGGGAUAUUUACGGUGAAAUCCUUUUAUACGGAUCUGAUUAAUUCUGGCCCCCUCUCAAGGUCACUACAUAUAUGGAAGGUUAAGGUUCCUUUGUGGAUUAAAAUUUUUAUGUGGUUUGUCCACAAACAAGUAAUACUCACAAAUGACAACUUACUUAAGAGACGAUGGGUAGGCAACUCGCGGUGUUGUUUUUGUGCUCAGGAUGAGACAAUACAACAUUUAUUCCUUGAAUGCCCACUUGCCAAGUUAUUUUGGAGAACGAUUCAUAUAGCUUUUAAUAUCAAUCCUUCAGUAGAUAUUUCGUCUUUGUUUGGGACGUGGUUAGCUGGGGUUGAACAGAUCACGGCAGCACGUAUUCGGAUUGGAAUAUGUGCGUUACUAUAG
rnacentral:rRNA from 1 species